rnacentral:rRNA from 1 species
GCGAAAGCGUUAAGCAUCCCACCUGGGGAGUACGCCGGCAACGGUGAAACUCAAAGGAAUUGACGGGGGCCCGCACAAGCGGAGGAACAUGUGGUUUAAUUCGAUGAUACGCGAGGAACCUUACCCGGGCUUGAAUUGCAGGAGAACGAUCCAGAGAUGGUGAGGUCCUUCGGGACUCCUGUGAAGGUGCUGCAUGGUUGUCGUCAGCUCGUGCCGUGAGGUGUCGGCUUAAGUGCCAUAACGAGCGCAACCCCUUUCCUCAGUUGCCAUCAGUUCGAGCUGGGCACUCUGGGGACACUGCCACCGCAAGGUGUGAGGAAGGUGGGGAUGACGUCAAAUCAGCACGGCCCUUACGUCCGGGGCUACACACGUGUUACAAUGGGGGGUACAGAGAGCCGGUGGCGCGCAAGCUCCAUCCAAUCCUUAAAGCCCUCCUCAGUUCGGACUGGGGUCUGCAACCCGACCCCACGAAGCUGGAUUCGCUAGUAAUCGCGCAUCAGCCAUGGCGCGGUGAAUACGUUCCCGGGCCUUGUACACACCGCCCGUCAAGCCAUGAAAGCCGGGGGUGCCUGAAGUCCGUGACCGGAAGGAUCGGCCUAGGGCAAAACUGGUGAUUGGGGCUAAGUCGUAACAAGGUA